UUCAUUAAAAAAUUAGCGCCAAAACGACCUAGUAUUGAAAAAAUGUUAAAAUUAUACACAGUCAAAUACACAUAAAUAUGGCCGAGGGUUAUAUUGCGGUUUGACUGGCACUUGAAGGGUUGACCUGUGGGUUUUUGAGUUCGCAGAUUAAUUUGCAAAAAAAAACCACAUUGAGGGUUUUUUUGCAGAAAACCCAAAAUACUUAAAGGGUUCAUAUGUAAGGACUCCGACCAUAUAGGACGACGACCUACAACAAUGCUACACUUUUACAAUAUAUAGUUAAUGUAUUGUUUUUGGGCUAUUUACUACAACAAAGACAUUACUGAUUAUAUGUCAGAUUCGCUUACUAUACGAUUUCUAGAAUAUAGAGAAGUGAAAAAACCCCAAGGUUUCAAAUUCGAAGUUUCUCUAUAUGUUUAAGUGUAUAUAUUAUACAUAUUAACUCAAAUCAAACAUAAAUAAUCUUGCCUAAUCUAAUAAAAAGCUAACUGACCUUUCCGACGUCUUAUAUUGUUAUAGGAACACAAGAUUUUAUUAUUCAAAAGGAAAAAUGUUAUUGUUGUUAGAAGAUAAAUAUGGAAAUUGGAUGAUUAUUCAGCUUGGACACUUGUCCUUCUUUCCUUGUCAGUUUUGCACCAUCACCAUUGCACGUGUUAGUCCAAUGGUUCUGUCUUUUUGUGUGUUUAACCAACUUCUCUUUUCUAUAUAAAGGGUUUCAUGUUCACUUGUAAUAAUAUAUAUGAGCAAUUAGUUUUACCUAUGUCCCUCCCUCAUAACAAACAAAAACAUCACUUUCAUCUCUCCCUCUCUCCCACUAUCGUUUCCUUCUUCUUUCUUAUAUACUAAACACAUAAAAGAAUAAUAUAAUUAAUAUUCAGAUAUAUAAAUACCUCACCUUUAUUACACAACACAUUAUCAGUACGAGCUCUCAUAUACCGGUGAAGUCAAUCAAUCCGGAAGCUCUAACCAACCGAAGCUUAUCAAUCCGAAAGUUCUUAAACCAGCCGAGGCGCUGCCUUUCCCGACUGAUCGUUAUGGUAGGCUAUGCCUUCACGAUCAGAGAAACACGUUGUUGGACCCAAUUUUGGCCAAUACCAUAAUGAGCCACGAUCAAAGGCAUGGACCUUAAAGGACCGGAGCACGUAGCAAGAAUACGAGCUCGAGAAGGAGUCGCCGAGGUCGCGGAGAUCGUGCAAUCGUGGAGCUACCACAGAGAUCUCGAAGUCGACGUACUAUAAAGGAAGAGGAGUGGAAACAGAGGAGAACACGUUGAAAACCCUAGAGAGAGCUACACAUUUACAUCGAUCUUGUUGUCUUCCCACUUUUAGAUUCUUUCUUUACCGAUCUCGUUUGUAUCACUCGAUCUAGUUCAAUUCAUUGUAUUCGAUCUUAUUCAUCAAUAAAGUCCAUUUUCACC